rnacentral:rRNA from 1 species
AGUGAACGCUGGCGGUAGGCCUAACACAUGCAAGUCGAACGGCAGCACAGUAAGAGCUUGCUCUUACGGGUGGCGAGUGGCGGACGGGUGAGGAAUACAUCGGAAUCUACUUUUUCGUGGGGGAUAACGUAGGGAAACUUACGCUAAUACCGCAUACGACCUACGGGUGAAAGCAGGGGAUCUUCGGACCUUGCGCGAUUGAAUGAGCCGAUGUCGGAUUAGCUAGUUGGCGGGGUAAAGGCCCACCAAGGCGACGAUCCGUAGCUGGUCUGAGAGGAUGAUCAGCCACACUGGAACUGAGACACGGUCCAGACUCCUACGGGAGACAGCAGUGGGGAAUAUUGGACAAUGGGCGCAAGCCUGAUCCAGCCAUACCGCGUGGGUGAAGAAGGCCUUCGGGUUGUAAAGCACUUUUGUUGGGAAAGAAAAGCAGCAGGUUAAUACCCCGCUGUUCUGACGGUACCCAAAGAAUAAGCACCGGCUAACUUCGUG